CCUACGGGAGGCAGCAGUAGGGAAUAUUGCACAAUGGGCGCAACCCUGAUGCAGCAAUGCCGCGUGUAGGAAGAAGGUCUUCGGAUUGUAAACUACUUUUGUUAGAGAAGAUAAUGAUAGUAUUAAAAGACUAAGCACCGGCCAACUCCGAGCCAGCAACCGCGGUAAUACGGAGGGUGCAAGCGUUACUCGGAACCACUGGUCGAAAAGAGCGUGUAGGUGGGUUAGCAAGUCAGGUGUGAAAUCCUAGGGCUUAACCAUAGAACUGCAUUUGAAACUGCUAAUCUAGAGUAUGGGAGAGGUAGGUGGAAUUCUUGGUGUAGGGGUAAAAUCCGUAGAGAUCAAGAGGAAUACUCAUGGCGAAGGCGACCUGCUAGAACAUAACUGACGCUGAUGCGCGAAAGCGUGGGGAGCAAACAGGAUUAGAUACCCCUGUAGUC
rnacentral:rRNA from 1 species